rnacentral:tRNA from 1 species
GUCCCGAUUCAAGUUGAGGCCAUCUAUGCUGACUCUUAAUCAGCGGGUCGCAGGUUCGAUCCCUGCACGGCCCACCA